AGCGCGAGGCAGGUCCCGGCGGCCUAGCGCGCGGGGGCAAUGAGCAGCGCUCGGCACACAGGCGCAAGCAGUAGGGCGGCACGCGGAUGGUCUAGGCGCGGCCCCGUCCCGCUGCUACCUGGGCCAUGAAUGCUUGGAGACAAUCCUGAUGACGUGAUCUAGUUUUUCCCCUCCUUCAAAUCGACAAUCUCUUGCAGCGGGGAUCAUGAGUUCAUGACGCGAAUGGCGGCAUCCACUCUAGGCAUCGAAGCUUCCUCACACUCACCUGAGCUGUCGAAUCCUUGGGGGGAUUCCUCUCCAUAGGCAUAUGGUGUCCGAUCGAGUUGGAUUUCACCUCCAAUAAUUGUUUCUUGUGCAUGCUAAACAAUCUAGGCAUCACAGUUUGGCCAGUGCUGGAUCUAAAUCUCAGCCUUGGCUUCGGUUGGAUGUAAGGUUCCAUUGAAUCAUUGAUCUACCAGCAGAAGAGGUUCCAUUAAAUCGAGGAUGCCUGCAAUGGCGUAGGGAAGCACUGGGAUGCUCCACUCUCAUGGAUAGAAUUGACACCGUACAAGCACGCAGGUGAAGGUGCAUACCCUGCAUCCCUACAUCGCAGCUUUGUCCCCGGUCUGAUUCAUCCAGUAAUGAAGCUAACUGCUGGUGCUAGUCCCAUGGUGUGGAUAUCUAUCAUCUGGGAAGAUUGGCUACGAGUAUCUUGUGUUGUGCCUCCUGUUCAGGUGCCAUGGUGCUCCUCGACAAGAUUGGCUAUGCAUUAGAGGUGAACUCUAUUCUUUUGUUGAGGCAAAGUUGGGAUCUUUAGCUGGAUCUUUAGCCCUUCUAUUUACAGAGCCUUUGAUUUGUAAAACAACUGCUGUUGGAUUAUGUUAGCUAGUGGUUAGGAUUUCUCCAAAUGAUAGCAUAUCCUCUUUUUUAGUAUGUGAUUUCAUCUUGCAUGACCAUCAACUCGGGUAUGGUAUGUCUCCCAUUAUACUGAAUUUUCAUUUGACAUGCCAUGGCCUCAACGUAAUGAUAGAAUACCUCUGUAAUAUACUUGUUGUGCAAACAGCACAGCCUUGCCAACAUGAGAUAGUUAAGUUCCUUAUUCAUACAAUCCGUAACUGAAGUAUUUGAAAUGCACCGUAUUCUGUUUUGUAUAAAUCUCGUUUCCUGGACACAAUGGCUACUGUGAGCAUAGGAUUGUGAGCUUGAGGUAACCAAAGCCUUCUGCGUGCUCUGCUCAUGAUCAUGUAGUUUGAACUGAUUAUACCAUGUUGAAUUUUUUCCCUUCUUAACAAUCAUUUUUAGUUGACAGUUUACUAUAGGAUAUCAAGGUACCCCUACCUGAUUGAGUUCAGAUCUUCCUAGAAGGAACAAAAAUGGUUCUUUUUAUUUUUGUUACUCCUUGCUCAUUCCAACUUCCGUUCCAUAAUGUUUUAUACCUUUAUGAGGUCAAUCUAUAAAGAUGACACCAUCGUAUUCAGGUGUUUUUUAUGGGUUUUUCAGGAUUUGAGGUGGACGCCGUGAUAUCCAUUGACAGUGCCAUCUUUUGGCGGCACCCAUCAUCACCAUUAGAUGUACAGGGAUAAUUUCCCUUGAUCAUCAUUUGAUGGAUUUCAUGCAGAGAGCAUAUGUUGUACAAUAGAUUCUGAGUUUUAUGAGAGGAUGGUAUAUAGAGAGCUUCUGUGUGUAGAUUCUUAUAAAAGUGUAAGUUCGGUGUGGCAUAAUAGAAAUAUGACUCCACCUUUGUGUGUUUAUAGUAAUUAUGAACCGGCUUAGAAAAAA